rnacentral:lncRNA from 1 species
GAGACAAGGUCUUGCUCUGUCACCCAAGAUGGAAUACAAAGAAAUGGCAUGAUCGUAGCUCACUGUAGCCUCAAACUCCUAGCCUCAAGCAAUUCUCCUGCCCCCGCCUCCAAGUAGCUAGGACUACAGUUUCUGGUGCCCAUCGUGGACCAGCUGAACACUUGACUCACUCCAGAGCCUGCAGAUGAGAUCCUGGGACAACUGACAAAAAGCCACCAAAAGGUUAAGACAUUUUUACAAAGGUCAGCUCUCCCAUAUGCCUGCCUAUAAUGUUCAGUUGAGAACCAAAUGUAAACAUUUCUCUUUAACCUCUGCCUUCCAAAUUCAGGUUAGCAGAAUAAAAUUGUCUGUCUGGAUUGUGAAAAAAAAAAAAAAAAAAAACAGCCAAGAAACUUGUUAUGUUUUUCUCUUGUUAAUUUGUCUUUUUAAAUAGGCAUGUCAGUUGUAACUCUUUUGAUGGUGAAGAAAGGUAAUAUACCUUUAUGCCCCUACAGUAGCAAAAGCCUGGCACAGAAUAUGUGCUUAAUAAACAUUUGUUGGAAAUAAUGAAUAAGCAAGUGGUUGGAUUUGCUCCUCCAAGAAGGAGAAGAAAGGAGUAAAGAAUAUAGGAGAGGAAAUUGGAGGAGAGGAAGAGGAACAGGGUGUUAGGACAGGAGAGGUGCAGAGUCUAG